rnacentral:rRNA from 1 species
ACAUCCAGAGAACUUAGCAGAGAUGCUUUGGUGCCUUCGGGAACUCUGAGACAGGUGCUGCAUGGCUGUCGUCAGCUCGUGUUGUGAAAUGUUGGGUUAAGUCCCGNAACGAGCGCAACCCCUAUCCUUUGUUGCCAGCGAUUCGGUCGGGAACUCAAAGGAGACUGCCGGUGAUAAACCGGAGGAAGGUGGGGAUGACGUCAAGUCAUCAUGGCCCUUACGAGUAGGGCUACACACGUGCUACAAUGGCGCAUACAAAGAGAAGCGACCUCGCGAGAGCAAGCGGACCUCAUAAAGUGCGUCGUAGUCCGGAUUGGAGUCUGCAACUCGACUCCAUGAAGUCGGAAUCGCUAGUAAUCGUAGAUCAGAAUGCUACGGUGAAUACGUUCCCGGGCCUUGUACACACCGCCCGUCACACCAUGGGAGUGGGUUGCAAAAGAAGUAGAUAGCUUAACCUUCGGGAGGGCGUUUACCACUUUGUGAUUCAUGACUGGGGUGAAGUCGUAACAAGGUAGGCGUACGUGU